GGUCUGGUAGUUCAGUUGGUUAGAAUAUCGCCCUGUCACGGCGAGGGUCGCGGGUUCGAGUCCCGUCCAGACCGCAA
rnacentral:tRNA from 1 species